UGGGGAAUGUUGGGCAAUGGGCAAGGCGCCUGAUCCAGCCAUAUAGAGUGAUUCUGCGUCAAUUGACGUUCAACUGAUAUAGAGCCCCCUGGUAAUGGCAACAUGGCAACAUUUUUAAACUUUAAUUUAAAGACCGGCAACCGGCAACCCCGAAGGGGAAGCUCCAUCUGCCUUACAAAGGCAUAUGGAUGGCAACGGGUUCCUACCAGGUGUAAACCCUUUAAACUAAAGGGGGCGGACGUUAAGAAAAACAAAAAGAGUAUUGGCAUACGACCGUCCACUGUCUCAGCGGGAGAUGACGAUAAGGAAACAAAAUGAGAAUUGACGUUAAGAAAAAGAAAAGAUCUGGAGGUAAGGAGAAUAAUGAUACAACUUACCUAUAAAUCCUGACCAACCUCGUGCCAGCAGUCGCGGUAAGACGAAGAGGAUGAGCGUAAUUCAUGAUGUAUAGGUGUAAAGGGUCUGUAGGCGGCGAAAGCUAGAGUGUUACAUGGGAAAAGAGGAAUUGAGUAAGUAGGGAUAAAAUCCAAUGAUCUAUUUAGGAAGGUCGAGGGCGAAGGCAUCUUUCUAGGAACACUGACGCUAAGGGACUAAAGUGUGGGGAGCAAAAAGGAUUAGAUACCCCAUUAGUCCACA
rnacentral:rRNA from 1 species